rnacentral:lncRNA from 1 species
GGUGCUUUUCACUUUUCCCGGAUCACUUCAUACUUCCAACUUCCUACUUAUGUUCUUUUGUUACUUGCAGAAGCAAAACCUAUGUAAAUCCUGAUAACUUUCAGUGGAGCUUCUUAGGAGAGAAAGAGAUGCUGAAAUCUUCCAAGAGUUUUAAAUCGAUCUUUCACAAAGGCGGCCUUUUAGCGACUCAAUUGGUAACUGUGAUACAUUUUCAUGUUCUAACAAACUGCUCUUAUUUUUAAUGGAGUAUUUAUUUCUAUUCUUUACAUAGAUACCCCAAUAACACAACGAUAUACUAAAAUCGUGAUGUUUCUUUUCAAGUUUAUUUAGGCAACUGCCAUGCCUGCAGGAAGUUGAAAGUUGUGUUAUCACUUAUUACACGCUCAGAGUAGUGAGACAAAAAGACCCUACCAUUGCUUCCGUUCUUUUCAAUGUGUAUAUAGGGUGAUUUAGUUUUGAGAUGGUAUGGAGAUUAUAUUGACAUUUCAAUCUGAUGAUAGUAAUAUCUUGUUCUAUUCAUUUGUUA